UAAUUACUCCCUCAGUCCGGAAAUGCUUGUCAAAGAAAUGGUUAUAUCUAGACGUAUUUUAGUUUUACAUGCAUUUAUUUUUAUGACAAGUAUUUUCGGACGGAGGAAGUAUUAU
rnacentral:pre_miRNA from 1 species